rnacentral:rRNA from 1 species
AAUCCAUAGGUUAAUGAGGCGAACCGGGGGAACUGAAACAUCUAAGUACCCCGAGGAAAAGAAAUCAACCGAGAUUCCCCCAGUAGCGGCGAGCGAACGGGGAGGAGCCCAGAGCCUGAAUCAGCAUGUGUGUUAGUGGAAGCGUCUGGAAAGGCGCGCGAUACAGGGUGACAGCCCCGUACACAAAAGCGCAUGUGCUGUGAGCUCGAUGAGUAGGGCGGGACACGUGGUAUCCUGUCUGAAUAUGGGGGGACCAUCCUCCAAGGCUAAAUACUCCUGACUGACCGAUAGUGAACCAGUACCGUGAGGGAAAGGCGAAAAGAACCCCGGCGAGGGGAGUGAAAAAGAACCUGAAACCGUGUACGUACAAGCAGUGGGAGCCCCACCACCAAAGCGUUUCGCUUUGUGUGGUGCACAAAGAAGCGUAACGACAGCACUGAAUGACGGUUAACGGAGCGCAAGCGACGUUCAACAUACAAAGUCAAGCAGUGGAGCGCUUUGGGGUGGGGUGACUGCGUACCUUUUGUAUAAUGGGUCAGCGACUUAUAUUCUGUAGCAAGGUUAACCGAAUAGGGGAGCCGGAGGGAAACCGAGUCUUAAUUGGGCGUUAAGUUGCAGGGUAUAGACCCGAAACCCGGUGAUCUAGCCAUGGGCAGGUUGAAGGUUGGGUAACACUAACUGGAGGACCGAACCGACUAAUGUUGAAAAAUUAGCGGAUGACCUGUGGCUGGGGGUGAAAGGCCAAUCAAACCGGGAGAUAGCUGGUUCUCCCCGAAAGCUAUUUAGGUAGCGCCUCGUGAAUUCAUCUCCGGGGGUAGAGCACUGUUUCGGCUAGGGGGCCAUCCCGGCUUACCAACCCGAUGCAAACUGCGAAUACCGGAGAAUGUUAUCACGGGAGACACACGGCGGGUGCUAACGUCCGUCGUGAAGAGGGAAACAACCCAGACCGCCAGCUAAGGUCCCAAAGUCAUGGUUAAGUGGGAAACGAUGUGGGAAGGCCCAGACAGCCAGGAUGUUGGCUUAGAAGCAGCCAUCAUUUAAAGAAAGCGUAAUAGCUCACUGGUCGAGUCGGCCUGCGCGGAAGAUGUAACGGGGCUAAACCAU